GCAAUGUAACCUGUACUGUGAAACUCACAGGCCAAACAGGCACAGAAAGUGCUGUGUAUUUUAGGACAAACACAUUUAACAUUUGAUAAUUAGUAUUAUUGUUGACAGUGACAGCAGACUUGCAGCUCCUGCUCAUAGGCAUACAGUGUGUAUGAGCUUGUAUGAAAACCAAACUCCUAUCAGGUCAGUAGUUCUUGUGUCUCUAAACACAAAUGAGGGUUAUCCUUGUAAGAUGAUGGAGGACAGUGAUGGGUAUGGUUGAGAAGGUCUAGCACCAGUUCUCAGUUCUCAUGUUUGUCUUUGGGGGGGGCAGAAUAGCAGAACAAACAGUCCAGCACUAUUACAAUUACAAUGAAACUGCAGCACUAUUACAAUUACUAUUACAGUGACACUGAGUUCGCUGUUCAGUUCAGACUUCUGUACUGUCAUGCUCUGUAUCUCAGCUUGUCUCCCUUUACAAUCAACAGAGAAAGACAUGCUCUGCAACUUUUUUUUUGUCUCUGCAUCAAGAUUUCACACAGGUUAGAUGAAUCUGUCUGGAGCUUUCUUUGGGAUGAGUCGGGCAAUAUUCUUGCAAUGCUGGUUUGUCUCCAUUGGCUACAAAAUUAUGCAGGCUGUGUAACUAUGGUGCAGAUUUCUACUCUGCAGAUGCCUUUCACUCAGCCCAUCUUUGCCUGUCGAAACUGGAACUUUCUUGUAUGAAGAAUGUCUGUCUUUUCUUAUAUUUUGUCUCAUCAACAGUGCAGGUCAACCAUGAAUCCAUUCUGCCUAAUUAAUCUUUUGCUAUGUUGGAAGAGGAACAGAAAUUCGAUAAGAGUAAUCUCCAAACUAUGAACAUGUAUUAUCUAUGGAAAAACAUAUGAUAUUUUUAGGUUUCCUACUCAUUUUUGUUAGAUCAGAAAUGAGUGAGCUUCCUCCUGUAUAAUUAACAAAGAAUUCCUGUUCCCUAUGUUGGCACUUAUUGCUCUGUAUCAUGGAAUAUUCUUCUUAUAGGGCUAUACUAUUUUUGGUUAAGAAAUAGCUAUUUUUAAUUCCAGUGAGUCUUAACUAUUGUGCAAAUGAAAGAAAUUACCUGCAUAUUGUGAACUGGAAUUCAUACCAAAUCAUCUGCUAUAUUUUUACAUUCUUGGGUGCAACAAGCUAUUGAGCUUGACAGACUUGUUAUAGCUACAAAUAUUUGUUUUGCCAUGACACGUGCUGGCCCUAGUACCUGAAUCCUGCCUCAAGCCACAAGAUGCCAAGUAACAGCCCUUGAGGAACUCUGUGACAUCAAAAGAAUUUCAACUGUGUCAUUCAGGCACUCCUACUAAAGUUGAAACUGUCAGACUGCAAAUCUCUGUCAUCCUUGUUCUUUUUCCACUUACUAGGGGCUAGGCUAUAAUGGUGGGAUCCUCACAGGGAUGCAAUUUUGGGACUGCCCAGAUCUCUAUCACCAGUAAGGAAUGACAGCAGAGCCAAAAACAGUAGCAUGGGAUCUUUCAGUAAGCAUAUAGUUUGGGAUUCAAUGGGAUUACAAUUAUGUCAUCACAGGUUCUGAACUGGACCUUCUGAAUUUGUUCCACAAUCUUACCCCUGAGCUAUCACUUGCUCAUUACAUCAUCAAGUUGUUGCUCUGUCUGCUCUAAAACUGCUGUGCUAAGACAACAGAUGCCAUACACCAGGUUGGAAAGGUGGUUUAGAGAUGACUUCUGCAGCCCACACAGUUGUCCUGAGUCUUUCAUGGGGAAGUAAGACAGUAAUUGCUUUCUCAGAUGUUUGAAUCCUAUAUUGUUUAGCCAUAAUCCCCGGGCUUCUCCACUGAGAAAAAGGUUUGCUUGCUUUGACUCUUCCUUCAGUCUGUUGAUCACUCUGCUUUGAGGGAUGAUACUGCUGCAUUAAAACCCAUUUUCUCUGGAACAGUGUCUGUGCAGAAGAGCCAAGGAGCUGUUCUGUCAAGGCUAUAAACACAGAACAUCCUUUCUUUGUCUUAGCACUUCUCCUUGGAAUGCUGCUAGAAGAGGUUUAUACCUCUUUCUUGUCUGGAAAGGUUAAAGAUUCAAACACUUGGGUAAAGUAAGGGAAAAAAUCCUGCUAACCACAUUUUCAUCUCUCUCCCCACCCAGACAGAAAUUUGGGAUCUUUAGCACUCCAUUCUCCCUGGUGAUGUGGAUUCCAGAGGCAGGAGCAGAAAAGCAAUUUGGGAGAUCUGGUCCCUGCAUGCUUUCAUCCUCACCAUUUGCCAGGGAAAGCCUCGUAUAGCCAGUAUGUGUUUAUGUUGGCACUCAGCUCACCACCUGUGAAACUCAGGGCUCUGGUGCAUCACCCACACCUGCAGCACUUCCCUCCUCAGCCUGAAGCAUCAGCAGCUGAAUCUGCAGAGCAGCAAUCCUGGGCCCUGUGGCUGUGCUGGGCCACUGGAGGGCAGGGCAGGUCUAAUGUAUCAGCAGCAAAACGAGGAGGAAGGCACUGUCAUGCACAGCAGCACCCCUGAAUCAUGUUCAUGGUUUGAAAUCCCUGCCUCUAAAGUCGACAAUAACAUCCCUGUUUUCAGGCUUUACUUCAGCAGCAGCAGAGAGUGAUCUUUGAUUGUUACUUUCCACUUUUGCAAUGUAAAACAGAAUUAGAGGAAAAGCUUUGAUUAUUCAUUUCUUUUUUAACUGCAUCUCUGGGCUAUUUAAACUGCCAUGAAAACAGUGAGUCAAUGUGAUUAUAUUGACAGAGCAGAGGUCACAGAGACAGCAGUUAUAAACCCAGCAUCCUUUAACUUUGCACACCCAGCUGCUCACAUGAAAUGCUGCAAUAAAACUAGCACAGAGGAAAAGAAGCCUUUAGCUUGGCUUGGCUUUAGAAGCCAGUCAGGUUCAGGGGGUAUGGAGUGGUGAUAAGGAGAGGUCCAAAAACACAGUUGCUGAAAGGAAAUGUCCUUGCUUGUAUUCCACUCCAGGAGGGUCAAGUGCACCAGCAUGUCUCUCUGAAUUACCUUUACCAGACAAUCAGGUCAGCCUUUCAUUAAUUUUAAAAACCAGAUUUGAUCCAAUUGAAGGAUUUUUCACAGUAAAUCAAACAGCUCCUACACUAGUGAAGGAUGUUUAAAAAGGAAGUUGAGUUCUGCUGUGAGCUGAGAGAAGGACAGGGAUGACUGAGUCAAAAGCCAAAUCUGGACUUCUCAGACUCUUGUUCUUAGUGCUGAAUGUGUUUCUGACAAGCCCUACAGAAUCAUUUGAGACAAAGCCCUAUAAAAUUAUAUUAAUAGAUAUAAAAAAUUUCAAUUACACCAACAAAUGAAUAAAAAUCCUAAAUUUCAACUGCACCUAUAGUUCCCUUGUAUUCAGCAGAAAGAAAAGUAUUGCAUGCUGUUAUGGAUGAGAAAGAAAGAUCUGUUGGAGAUGAAGAAAACAUACUAGAAGAGGAAAGAAGACUAUGAAUGACAGAAGAAAAGAGCCAAAAUAAAAUGUAGGGAAUCUGAGGAGAGGGUAGGCAAGAAGAGGAACAGAAAUAAUUGUGGGUGCAAUGCUGGGUUUUUAUAGUAACUUUUUUUCUUUCCUGUGGUUGAGGGUUAUGGUAAACAGAGAGGCCAAGGAAAUAGCUGAAAAACUUGCAGAGGAGACAGCUGAAGAUAAACAAACCCCUAGACUUCCUCUAUCAUAGGAGAGAAACAAAUGGAAGAGAACAAAAAGAAAAAAAGGUCUUGAGAGAAUGAGAAAUAUGUCUCUGUGUAAUUUCAGGGAAGCAACAGACCUGCCCUUUUCAUCUGUACCAGCUAAAGAAAGACACUGGACAGCUGAAGGAAUAGGUUUAGUACUGUAGGUCAGUGUAAGAAUUGUCCUGCCACUGAGAUAAAACUGAAUGCCUUUGAGGCAUAGAAGGUGGACUUGAUUUAGGGGGGAAAUAAAAAGGUGCAGAAUGUGCCAUUUUCCCUGAUAAACCAGGUUUAAGGAGGUGGGGGGAGAGCAAACUGAUAUCCUUUUCCUGCCAUUCAACUCAUGUUCAGCAUACAGGUAUACAUGUGCAUGAACACAGAAACAAAGUGUGCAUUAGUCGACUCAAGUAUGUGACUCUUGUAAGAGUGUAAUGGUAACAGUAUUUGUCAGGUGGCACCCUUGAUGCUGGCACAGCAUAUUCACAAAUUAAAACAAGCUUUUGCUGUGCAUAUCUAGAAUUUUCCCUGCAGUGUGCUGUGUUAAAGUCAAUAAUCACAGAAUGGCUGAGGCUGUCAGGCAGCUCUAGAGAUAUCUGCUCCAGCCCUGCUGCUCUGAAGUACUCAGAGCCACGUCUACUGCUUUUGAAUAUUUCUAAGAAUGGAGAUUCUGUGACCUCCCUGGGCAUCCCAUUCCAGUGUUUGAACACCUUCACAGUAAAAAAGUUCUUCUUGUGUUUCAGUGAUAUAGCAGUCAACUUCCUGGCCUUUAUGUUUGGAAGCAGCUACCAGGGGAAAUUAUUCCAUCACCUUCCCACAGAUUGAGAUGAGUCUGACAAAUUGUUAGUUGCUCAGGUUUUCCUUCUCGCCCUGCUUGAAAAUGGGAGUGACACGUGCUUUCUUCCAGUCCUCAGUAAUCCCUCCUGAUCACCAUGACCUUUUACAAAAAAUCAAGACACCUUUCAGUGACAUCAACCAGCACCCUCAAUACCCAUGGAUAUCUCCCAUCAUGUCUUAUGGUGCUUGAGUGCUCUCUACCUACAAGGGAUUUCCUGACCUUCACAUGUAUGAAAAUGGCUUCCAUGAUUAUAUCCUCUGUCACCUUCCCAAGGAUAAAGGUGAGUGUGACCAGACUCUAGCUCCCUGGAUCCUCCUCCUUCCCCUUCUUGAAGAUGGGAGUAACAUCUGCUUACUUCCCCUCUUCAGGAACCGCUCCCAGGCCCCAUGAUGUUUCAAAGACAAUCAAAAGUGGCCUUGCAGUGACAUCAGCCAGCACCUCAGCACCCAUGCAUGCCUCCCAUCAGGUCUCAUGGUUGCACAUUUGCUUUACAGUGCCCUAACUUGAUGCUCCUCCACCAAGGGAGCUGAAUAUUAUGGGAGCAAGCAUCCAUCACCAGCUGGGACCUUCUUGUACUGAUGUGCUGCUUUUCCUUGGCCUUACUUGAUCCUUUAGUGUGCUGAGGACUACCCUGAAAAAUGCUGAGUGUUUUCCAUGUUUAACCACUUCAGCAACAGUGACAGUUUGCAUGUGCAUUUGUGUGUAUUGAGAAGAAAGGUAACUCUGAACACCCAUCCUCCCCACUUGAAUUGGGUCACACGUUGUCCUACCAACUGAACCAGUCAGUCCUUUCAUUCAGUUGUCAUUGGGACCAUCUGAUAAAGAGGACAACAGAUUUAAAGAAAAUCAAAGGCUGAUACACAGCUUCACAAGGACAACAGCAACAGAAAGACCUCUGAGGCCAAUCCAAAUGGCAGCACAACCAUCUGGAGUAUCAGGCACUCCUCUUAGGUUAUUAUCAUCUGCAGAGCUCCUGGGGGUGCACCCUUUCCAGGAACCUCUCCCAGGCCCCAUGAUGCUUCAAAAACAGUCAGAAGUGACAUCAGCCAGCACCCUCAGGACCCAUGCAUGCCUCCCAUCAGGUCCCAUGGUUGCACAUCUGUUUAACAGUGCCCUAAUUUGAUUCUCCUCCACCAAGGGUAAGUCUUUGCUCCACACUUGCUCUUGUCUCAAAGGCCUGGGAUUCUUAAAGACAAGUCUUCCUAGUAAAGACACAGUUGAAGAAAGGGAUUUUUGCAUUCCCUUGGGCUAUAUAUGAGAAAGAAAGUAGUUUAUGGUCAUCUGGAUAAACUAUUUCCACCCCGUAUGUUUUCAGGAACAAGGAGUUUUAUGGGCAGGCUUUACCCAUACCCACCAAUUUGGAUCAAGUACUGGCAGUAUUUCUAGUGUCUCCUAGAGAAUCAAAUAUGCUGUAAAGUACAUACAGAUAAUGUAGAAAUCAACCCCACAGUCUGAAAGCUACCUAAGGCCAUAGCUCCCUUCAGAAAUACAGCAUUUUCAUAAAGAGCUUCAGCUGCUCAUUCUUAACCCAUAUGCUGCAAUCAGAUGCACCGGUGUCACUGCAUAUUUUUUGGCAGGUUUUUUAACACAGAAUAUUUUAAUGACCCACUCACAGCACAUCCUCACAAACCCUUUGCAGUGCCACAUUUUCUGGGAUCAAGGUGGAUGCCUGCUGGCUGGUGGAGGCUGAGGGGGGGGAUAAUAUUCCCUCUCCUGGGGAGAUAUUAUCUCUAGCAAACAUCAGCUGCUGGGGCUGUCUGGUUCCUGCAACUUCCCCACUGAUGUUGUCAGCUACAGGCCACUGGGAGGAACUGACAGUUUAUGAAUUUGAACAACAGUACAACAGUGGCUGCUGCUUUUCCUUCUGCUCUGCCAGUGCAGUGUAGAUGUUUCUGCACUCAACAAAGUCAGGGUCAUUUCAAAAUUAGCGCAUUUAUGACAUUUUUCCUAAUUUUCUUCUUAAUCCCAGUGAAAAGACUAGCUAAACUUGCACAUAAAAGGUAUUUAAAAUGUCACUGCUAGAGAUCUUACUGUUCUGGCAGUUGCUCAAUGCAUUUCAACAGAUAAUGAUGUGAGUAACACAGUAUGUGUGUUAAUUUCAACCAUGAUUAGCAUAGUUUGGAUAACACUGUGCUUCAACCAUUGUAACAUGCAGGCUGGAUGAGUGUUUUUGGGGGUUUUCUUUAGGAUGCUGAAGAUUGCUUCCUUUUGUGGCAGCUGUGUGUGGCAAAAACAAAGCAAGUUCAGAGCUCUGAACACCAUGUCUCAUUGAAAGCACUCCCUAUUCUGCUUUCCUCCUACCUAAGAAAGAUCAGCUAGCCACUGAUAGUCCUUCCCUGUGGCUGGCUUCCAGAGAGCAAGGAAAGAAACAAACAUAAGCAUUUGUAAAUAUUUGCACCCUUGUUUUUGAGUCAUGGCUCUAAUUAUUGUUUCUGUUUUACUGCCACAGCAGAAAUUUAGAUUAAAAAAAAGACAAUUGCAUUUUAUUUUCUAAAUAUCCAAGGAAAUGAAAUAAUGACAGUGGAUUGUUAUUCCCAGUGAGCAGAGCUCCACCGGAUGAGCAGUGUGUCUGGAGCCAGCAACAAAUCAUGAGUAAAUGGUUCUUGGAUUGAAUCAGGAUUGUGGAAACUCACUUCUGAGGGGCCUCAGUGAGAAACCCAAUCCAAACACUGCUGAGCUUUGGUAAAGCUUGUAUUUUAUGCUGGAAGCUGAAACUAAUCUUUAUAUGAGAUAGAGGUAUUUUUUGAAUCUUUGAAAACACUGACUGUUUGCUAUAACUUUUAGGCAGAGCUGAGGAAGGUUCCUAAAAGUCUCCAGGAAAAGCGGGGAGUUUUCAGCUGACUAAUUGCCACUGGUAGCCACAUAAAUGCUUCUGACUUGUCCCAGGAAAAUGAGAUCUUGAUAUCUCUCUAUGGAGUCUUGAUUGAGUGUCCAACAGAUAUCACAAAGUGGCUGCCCAAGGCACAGAUUUAUCACAUCCUUUUUUUUUUGUGAAAUCUGGAAGUGCCUCUCUUUGCUGCUACAAGUUACUUUACUUUGUUUAUAUUUCAUAACCUCUUCUAUGUAGGAGAUGCCACUUCCAACAAAUUACAGAGCCAGCUACAGCUGCUACCUCCAAAUGCAGAGAGAAUAGGCAUUUCAAAUGAACAUAAAAUCAAAGUUUAAAAAAGCAUUUUUAGCAGUUUCACAGUUAUAAUGAGGAGCUGCACCUGCCAAACUAGCUCUUCCAAAAAACAGGAUACAGCAUCUGUGAGAUUCUGGAUUAAAGGGUCUGUAACCAACCUUAUUUGGAAAUAAAUGCUGGUUGGUUCAUGGCUGGCUGUAGGAUUCCUGCCCUUCACUCCACAGACUGAACUGUUGAGCAGAUUCAUGGGCACCUACUUUUGGGCUGGAGUUUUGCCUGGUGGAGUCAUGUACCUUGUUUUGGACUCAUGAGUCCCUGGCCUGAGCAUUCCCACCCUCCUUGGCACUACAUACCCAGCUGCUCAUCUACUCCUGCUUUAACUCAUUACAAAAUCACACUGCUUAGAAAAAAAUAUAUUAUUAAAACUCUUUAAAAUAAGUAGGGUAUCACUUUCACUUUGUUAGACUGGCUAGAGACUGAAUGAGAGAUUAUUCCAGAACAUUUGAAAGGGGAAGUAGUCUCUGCUGAGCCACAAUAAUGGGAAUGGACUGGGAAGAGUGCAGAAAGUUCUCAGGCUGAAGAUGUUUUAUGCACUCCUGCUUGAUGGGGGUACACCUGGGGAUACUCACAAAGUUUGAUCCUCAAACUGUUUCAUACACUGAUAACUGAUUUUUCAUUCCUUUUUUUCUCCUGUGUGUUUUCAUCCAAAUCCUCAUUUAAUAUCCUAUUAGCUUUUAUACCAAAGCAAAAACACACCAGACAGAAGAACUGAAUCCUUUAAAAGACUCAAAGGAAAUGAAAAACAAAUAGGAUGUGCCACAAAAAGUUUUUACCCCAGAGAGUUAAACUGUAAUGAAAUACCAAACAAUUCCAAUCUCAUUUUUCUAUACUAUAUGCAAUUCCAGAUAACUGAAGCCAGCAUUGCUCCAGUGAAGAUGCUCAAACAGUGAAGACUGACGAAAUUAUAAAGGAAAAAGGUUAUAUGGAAAAAAGAGAAAAAUAUAAUAACAGCAUUUGUUCGACCAUAUCUUACCAGGAAAUCUGAUACAUUGCUAAUAAAUUUCUUACUAUAUGCUAUGAAAAGAGUCAGUGAGAUAAGGAAAGAAAUAAUAUACCCAAGGAACAGCAACUAGAUAGCAAUCUUAGCUUAGAAUAAUGUAAGUUGAAUUUAUAAAGGAGCUAUCAAAACAUCUGGCAAUGUUGCUAUAAAAUAGGUCUGGCAUUUCCAUCUUUACCCCUCAGUUACUUUGAAGGCAUUUGUAACUUUGCUAACCUGCUUGAAACUUGCAGUAAAGUAUUAUUUUCCAGCCUUGCUUGGAUGUUUGGGUAUUGUUAGUGACUAAUAAGAAAGUGCCUUCUGAAAAAAAAAAAAAAAAAAAAAAAAGAGAGAAAAAAAAGAAGAAACAAGGCAGCUGAGGCUUACAAGACAAUACUUGCCUUCUCCAAAGCCUUUCCUUGUGUUGCCUACUUCUGACCAAAGACUGAAAUUUCUGUGUUCUGUUUUCUGUCUUUCACGUGGUUGUGCUGAAGAAUGGCUUCUUUAUAUUAAAAAGAAAUGACAAGGGAGGAAGUGGUGGAUGCAAGGAAAUUAGUUCUUGUGCACAACGAAUAUAUGACACUAAAAUCAGCAUUGAAAUAGAGUGUUUUGAGAAAGAAGAAGUGGUAAAACAAAGGGGAAGACACAGAAUGAAACCCACAGAGCAUUGUAAAACAAACCUCAACACAUAUGAGUUUGCAGAAUUAUGGAAAUAGUUAGACUUUCAUGAGAUAUUAAUUUAUGGGUUUCCAUCUGCCCUGUAACUUUACAGGACAUGCUAUCUCCCAGGAUAAUUAUUGCUUUGGGCUGGAAGGGACCUUAAAGACCCUUUAAAGACCUUGAACACCCCCAUGGGCAGGGGCAUCUCCCAUUGGACCAGGCUGCCCAAACCCCAACCAGCCUGGCUUUGAACACUUCCACGGAGGAGGCAUCCACAGCCUCUCUGGGCAGCCUACACCUCACCAUUUUCAUAGUGAAGAUUUUCUUCCAAGUAUCUAAUCUAAAUCUACUCCCUGACAGUUAAAAUACAUUAUUCCUUAUGGAAGCAAGCCAAGAGAGAUGGCACACAGCCUACCAACUAACUGUUCUGGUCAGGAGGAAGAUAACUCAAAUAUGGAGAAGUUAAUAUUUAUUUAUAAAUUAUGUUAUAAUACGAGUAAGAAGUGAGCUCCCAGUGUGAGGAACUGAAAGGUGGGAAUUUGCUUUUCUUCUGACCUCUGCAGAAAAUUUUUGAUCCUGAUAUUUACUAAUAAAAUCAGAGGAUUAGUUGUAUGACACCUUAAAAGAAAUUUGGUGUAGUGAAAAAUAAAAGCAUUUUUUGGUAUAAAUACUGCUAGUUGUCUGCAAAGAAUGAAAAAUGGAAGAAAUUUCCUGCAGUUAUACACCUUUUUUUUUUUUUUUUUUAAUCUUAAACUGAUUCAUUAUAAGUUUUGAACUAAGCCUGGUACAGUGACAGCAGCAAUUAAUUAUUUAAGUUGUUACAGGUAAACAGCAUGCAUCAAAUGGAGCAAAAUAUAAAACCCAACAUUAAAUAGUAAAAUAUAAUAAUUUAUAAGAAAAGGAAUUUCUAUUCUUGCAGAUGCACUUCCUUCUGCAUUUUUAUGAAAAGCAACAUUCAGGCUUCCCAUAAAUUAUCCUUUCCUCAGUAAUCAAAACUUCAAUUAGCAUUUGUCAACAUUUGUACUUUGUUAGGAAGAAAACAGCUUAUGAGCCAUUUCCUUUCCUGCAAUCAGGCAAAGAUUGUGUUCAGGAUGAGACAAGCCAAUUUGGAGCUACAAAACUUUCUGAACAGGGGAGUAAGGAGGCUUUUAGGAAGAGAGCUUUCCAGAUGAAACUAGCCAGUCAGAGCCUGAGUUUUCUACCAGUACUCAGACAACACAGAUCAUAGGCCAGCACCAUGCAAACAUAGUUAAAAACUGAUUUUAACAAAAAGAUUUAUAGGAAAGGUAGCUGUCUUGAGGACACUUUUGUGUUGAACUGUAAUUGCUAAUGGGAUGAAUUACACUGUGCUGAAAGAGCUCAAUAAUUGCCAUGAGACUAUUAAGGAUUGUUUUGAGGCAGCAGCCAAACCUCCUGGAAGCAGGACAGGGAGUGAGCCUGAGGCUGAUUCCUCCCUCCCACAGAAGGGAGUUUGCAAAGAGAGUUAGCCUGGGAUGUGCUCAAAAUCUGAAGUGUAGAUUAUACUAUAUUUUAAAAGCUCUACCAUAGGAUAAUUAAAGUCAAUAAUUCUUGCUGAAAAACUUGCUCCUAGCUGGCAAAUGCCCUAUUUUGUACUUUUCAGUGUUCCAAAGAAAAUAUCAGUGCCAUGACAUAAUUAUUGCAUUUUCUUUGCUUUUGGCAUGCUGUAAAAUGUUUUACUCAAUUGGAUGAGAAUAAAGGAAGAUGCUCAAUACACUGUAAUUACUUUUACUAUUUCUUGAUUAACCAGUUCUCAAUGGAUCUUCCCUCUUCAUCACAAUUAUACUGAAAGCUCUUUAUUCUAUAUUUUUUUCCAUAGAGAUUGUUUAAAUAUGAAUGAGAUUAAAUGACUGUAAAAGGAAGUGCAACCAAGCCUUUUCAGUAACAGUCAGUAAAUUUUCUUGUUUCACUUAGGUUUCAUAAUAAGAUGUAUAUCUUAGUUACUGGAAAGAAAAAAAAUCCUUGUCAUAUCUUUACUCGAAUUGAUUUGCUACCAUUUAUUCAGAAUACCAGUGCCAUGGAGAGUUUAAUCCUGUUCUAGGAUAAUGAGUAACUAUUUAAGCCUGAUAGGUAUGAACCCUAUAUUUCCUGUAGUUUGCUAAAUAUUCAUUAAAAUACAAUAAGCUUGUUUCAUUUUUUUAAUGGAAAAAACAUUUUUUUUCUAAGUGCCACUGCUCCAGUGUCCCUAGAAGGGAAAGACCUAAUCCACAUUAAUGGAAUUUAUGUAGGUGGCCAUCAAUUGGUUUGCCCUCCUUUUUGGCAAAACCUGCCACCUUGGACAGUUUCUUACAGCUCUAGUCCUCUAUCAAACAGAAAAUUUAGGUUUUGAUUUAGACACAUGAUGUCUCAUAGCCAUGCAAACUAUGCUAACAUUUCCAAUACACUCAUGAUUCCUUUCUUCAUGCAACCCAAACAAACCAUAAUGCUGACAAAACAAUAUAAUGCACCUUUCCAUGCCUCCAUGCUUUUCCUAUUCUUUGGGCUUUUAUCUUUCUCCUGGGAAGCAAACCUCAUGUUCUACACCAGGCAUUUUCUUCAAAUCAUGGAGCAUUUCAUAUCCUCUGAUAUCCAACCUUCCUUUCUGUAGAGUUUAUAAUCCAUAUCAGGAUGGAGCCAUGAAAAAAACCCUUUUCAGGUUGUUGUUACUAACCCUACCAGAACUUUGGCUUAGCUACCAGCCAACCUAGGUGCCUCCUUGGUCUGUCCAUGCCCUUGUCCAGAGACUCAAGCAGAAGUGUUUCAUAGAAGUCUAGUUUCAGUCCUGUGACAUCACUUCCAAAAAUUUCAGUCAAAGGUGAAGGCAAAAAAUUUGCAGAUUUGGCUACUUCAGUAAUCAACACAGCAGUGGCAGUUCAUGACUUCAGCUGGAAAUAUCACCAUGAAUUAGCCAGAGAUCACAAAACUGCAAUCCAGAGCUGGUGGUUGUAUUCUUCAGCCCAGAUACACUAGAAACCGGCUGAAAAUGGGCUUGACUCCACUGCUCAUGUGAAAUGAUCCAGGCCAGAUCUGCCAUGGUGGACAGAUUUCCUUAAGCCCUGCUACAGGGUCAGAGCUGUGACAUGCAUCAAAGGAUCACCCAGUGCUUCAGCUUCAUCACAGACACUGCCCUCUCCACCUCCAGCCACAAGCCCAGUUAGCAGCACUCAGCCCUAAGAGCUCCCUGCAGCUCCUCAGUACCAACCCAGCACACCCAAAACUCUCCUGUGCUUCUCCCACACAGUAGGAAAGGAGAUAAUUGCAGGGAAGAUGGCAGGAGAGAGGAAAAAAAUAAAUUAAAUAAUUUUAAGAACUUUCUGGGGACAUGAGAGCAAGGAGAACUUUAACCUUGACUGCUAGUCUUGGUCCACUCUCAUAUCACAGUCAAUCACCUGCACAGUUCCCACUUUAGACAGGACUAGAGGCUCUCCCAAUCCUGCAGGUGGGCAUCAGUUUAUUUGGGGAUUUUUUGAUUGAGUGUUUGGGAGUUUUUUGUGUUGUUUUUUUUUGUUGUUGUUGUUGUUUUUGUUUUGUUGGUUUUGUGUUUGGUUUUGGUUU